AGGACAGUGGCAGACGGGUGAGUAACGCGUGGGAAUCUACCUUGUAGUGGGGAAUAGCCUUUCGAAAGAGAGGGUAAUACCGCAUGUUUCCAAAUUUAUUUGGAAAAAGACUUCGGUCGCUAUAAGAGGAGCCCGCGUCCUAUCAGGUAGUUGGUGGGGUAAUAGCCUACCAAGCCAAUGACGGGUAGCCGGUGUGAGAGCACGACCGGCCACAAGGUCACUGAAACACGGGGCCUACACCUACGGGUGGCAGCAACCGGGAAUAUUGCGCAAUGGGCGAAAGCCUGACGCAGCGACACCGCGUGUGGGAAGAAGCUUUUCGGAGUGUAAACCACUGUGGCAAGGGAAGAAUUUUUGACGGUACCUUGCUAGAAAGCACCUGCUAACUACGUGCCAGAAGCCUCGGUAAUACGUAGGGUGCAAGCGUUAUCCGGAUUUAUUGGGCGUAAAGAGUUCCGCAGGCGUCUUUACAAGUUUCUUGUUUAAGCCUGAGGCUCAACUUCAGAAAAGCAAGAAAAACUGUAAAGAUUGAGUUUGUUUGGGGAAGCUGGGAUUCUCGGUGGAGGGGUGAAAUCCGUAGAUAUCGAGAGGAACACCAAUCGCGAAGGCAAGCUUUUCUAAACAUACUGACGCUAAGGGACGAAAGCUUGGGUAGCAAAAGGAUUAGAGACCCCUGUAGUCCAAGCCGUAAACUUUCCUCGCUAGUUGCCUGGUUAAUAAUGCAUAGUAGCUAUAAAUAAUACUAUUCAUUAUUAACUGGGUGACGUAAGCUAACGCGUUAAGCGGGGCGCCUGGGGAGUACAACCGCAAGGUAAAACUCAAAGGAAUUGACGGGGGAGCGCACAACCGGUGGAGCAUGUGGUUUAAUUCGAUACAAAGCGAAAAACCUUACCUGGGUUUGACAUAUACCUGCACGUUCUAUGAAAAUAGAAUUUCUUCGAGAGUGGUAUACAGGUGAUGCAUGGCUGUCGUCAGCUCGUGUCGUGAGACGUCCGCUUAAGUGCGGUAACGAGCGCAACCCUUGUCGUCAGUUAUACGUAUCUGACGAGACUGCCCUGCUGCUAGCAGGGAGGAAGGAGAGGACGACGUCAAGUCAGCAUGUCCCUUACAUCCAGGGCUACACACAUCCUACAAUGGGACUGACAACGGGUAGCGACAGGGCAACCUUGAGCUAAUCCUUAUAAACUGUCCCUCAGUUCAGAUUGCGGGCUGCAAUUCGCCCGCAUGAAGUCGGAAUCGGUAGUAAUCGCAAAUCAGCAGGUUGCGGUGAAUACGUUCUCGCUCCUUGUACACACUGCCCGUCAAGCCAGCAAAGUCGGCAGCACCCGAA
rnacentral:rRNA from 1 species